rnacentral:rRNA from 1 species
AGCAGCCGCGGUAAUUCCAGCUCCAAUAGCGUAUAUUAAAGUUGCUGCAGUUAAAAAGCUCGUAGUUGAAUUUCGGGACCAAAUAUGUCGGUCGUGCUUCGGUACGUACUGUCAUUAUUGGUUUCUCCCUUCUGAAGAACCUUGAUGUCAUUAAUUUGGUGCCUUGGGGAAUCAGGACUGUUACUUUGAAAAAAUUAGAGUGUUUAAAGCAGGCUCGCGCUUGAAUACAUUAGCAUGGAAUAAUGAAAUAGGACGUUUGAUUCUAUUUUGUUGGUUUCUAGGAUCGACGUAAUGAUUAAUAGGGAUAGUUGGGGGCAUUAGUAUUCAAUUGUCAGAGGUGAAAUUCUUGGAUUUAUUGAAGACUAACUACUGCGAAAGCAUUUGCCAAGGAUGUUUUCAUUAAUCAAGAACGAAAGUUAGGGGAUCGAAGACGAUCAGAUACCGUCGUAGUCUUAACCNUAAACUAUGCCGACUAGGGAUCGGAUGAUGUAAUUUUUAAUGUACUCAUUCGGCGCCUUAA